UACAGAGGUCCCAAGCGUUGUUCGGAUUCAUUGGGCGUAAAGGGUGCGUAGGCGGCGCGGUAAGUCGGGUGUGAAAUCUCGGAGCUUAACUCCGAAACUGCAUUCGAUACUGCCGUGCUUGAGGACUGGAGAGGAGACUGGAAUUUACGGUGUAGCGGUGAAAUGCGUAGAUAUCAGGAGGAACACCGGUGGCGAAGGCGGGUCUCUGGGCAACAACUGACGCUGAGGAGCGAAAGCGUGGGGAGCGAACAGG
rnacentral:rRNA from 1 species